rnacentral:rRNA from 1 species
CUACGGGGGGCACCAGUGAGGAAUAUUGCACAAUGGGGGGAACCCUGAUGCAGCAACGCCGCGUGGAGGAUGACGCAUUUCGGUGUGUAAACUCCUUUUAUAUGUCGAGAAAAUGACGGUAGCAUAUGAAUAAGCGCCGGCUAACUCCGUGCCAGCAGCCGCGGUAAUACGGAGGGCGCAAGCGUUACUCGGAAUCACUGGGCGUAAAGGACGCGUAGGCGGGUUGAAAAGUCAGGUGUGAAAGCCUACAGCUUAACUGUAGAACUGCACUUGAAACUCUCAAUCUAGAGUAUGGGAGGGGCAGAUGGAAUUAGUGGUGUAGGGGUAAAAUCCGUAGAUAUCACUAGGAAUACCUAAAGCGAAGGCGAUCUGCUGGAACAUUACUGACGCUAAGGCGUGAAAGCGUGGGGAGCAAACAGGAUUAGAUACCCCUGUAGUC